rnacentral:lncRNA from 1 species
GCAGUCCAUCAACGCCCAUCCUUCCAACUGCAUCUGUAUCAAGUUUGACCCCAUGGGGAAGUACUUUGCCACAGGAAGUGCAGAUGCUUUGGUCAGCCUCUGGGAUGUGGAUGAGUUAGUGUGUGUUCGGUGCUUUUCCAGGGGACAAACUAUGGGAGGUACAGUGUGAGUCUCCGACCUUCACAGUGGCGUGGCACCCCAAAAGGCCUCUGCUGGCAUUUGCCUGUGAUGACAAAGACGGCAAAUAUGACAGCAGCCGGGAAGCCGGAACUGUGAAGCUGUUUGGGCUUCCUAAUGAUUCUUGAGAGGAGGUUGUAGGGAGAGGAGGCCCCGGCAGAGGUCUUCCUUCAUGUGGUUAGUUUGGUCUGUUCUCUCGGAGUUGGUGGGCACCCUAAAUAUUUGUAAGUUGGUAUAAAUUGUAAACGUCUCUGGUCAGGCUGCGCAUUUCAUUCUUUUGCUUUGUCUGUGUAUUAGCUCUUUCCAUUCUUUGCCCCCAGCAUGAGUUAACUCGCGUGGACUCUGCAGUGCGAGUAGUGACCCCACCAUACCUUGUCCUCUGGACCUCCUGUCUUCUCUGCUUCUGGGUGCAUGGUAGACUUUGUGGCAUUUGAUACAACUUGGACAAUACCUAGUUUGGAGGGAGGGGAAUGGAAGGGCAUGGAAGUUUUUUUAAAUAAUUAAAA